GACGUAGGGCGUGAGCGUUGUCCGGAUUUAUUGGGCGUAAAGAGCUCGUAGGCGGCUUGUCGCGUCGAAUGUGAAAUCUCAGGGCUCAACUCUGACAUUGCAUUCGAUACGGGCAGGCUAGAGUUCGGUAGGGGAGACUGGAAUUCCUGGUGUAGCGGUGAAAUGCGCAGAUAUCAGGAGGAACACCGGUGGCGAAGGCGGGUCUCUGGGCCGAUACUGACGCUGAGGAGCGAAAGCGUGGGGAGCGAACAGG
rnacentral:rRNA from 1 species